UCAGAUGAUUGUCUUCUCAACUUCCAUAUCAUCCUCCAUCACUCAUAAUUAUAUAUUGAUCCAACCCAUAGAGACACUAACAAUAGAUUGAUUCGUCUGUUUGAUUCAAUAUCAUCACCUCCACUCAGUUCUAAAUACAAAUUUCCCAGUUUCAGAAUUCAGAUCGACCUGGGAGUACUCAACCGACGAGUACUAACAGCCGGUAUCACUUUGGAUCGGCCGUUCAACCGUGAAUAAUUAUAAAAGAGCCCUUGGCGGCAGUGUUUACGGGCAAAGUCGUUGCUCAGGGUGGUGAAGAGAAAACAUGGGAGUGCGAGGGCUUUGGGAGCUACUCGCUCCCGUUGGUCGCCGCGUCUCUGUCGAAACCCUAGCCGGGAAACGAUUGGCUAUCGAUGUGAGUAUAUGGAUGGUUCAGUUUAUAAAGGCGAUGAAAGACGAGAAGAGUGAUAUGGUUUAGAACGCUCACUUGAUCGGGUUUUUCUGGAGGAUUUGCAAACUUUUGUUCCUAAAGACUAAGCAGGUUUCCGUCUUUGACGGUGGUACUCCGGCGUUGAAACGCCGCACUGUCAUUGCGCGUCGUCGCCAGCGUGAGAACGCUCAAACGAAAAUCAGGAAAACCGCUGAGAAAUUGCUGCUUAAUCGACUCAAGGAGAUGAGGCUUAAGGAACAACCCAAUGAUCUUAAGAAGCAAAGACUACAGCAGAGUAGGAGUGCUGGAGAUAAGAAGCGUGUAUUUUCUGUAUCUCUGGAAGAACCUUUGCGAGACUCUGCAGAUGAAGAUGGUGCGGGGGCAGUUGUUUUCAGGAGGAAAAAAUGGAUGAGAUAUCUUCAGCAUCUGUGGCUGGAGAAACUGUUAAUGACUUUGCCACUAAAGGGUCCUCGGUUACAACUGAGAAGAUCCAAGGAGGCAUUGAUAUAAGAUUUUGUAGAUGAAAAUAAGGUCAAUACUUUCCAAGGAGGAUAUCUUCAGAAGCCUACCGAGCAAUGAUUAUUUAGAGGGAUUUAACGAAUAUAUAAUAUUCUUGGUUUAGAGAGUUAAACUAUCUCAAACGACCACUGAGAAAAUUGUACUGAUCGUUUGUGUUUUUUAUGCAGGAAAAUAGUUUAGAUGUUAACAAGGCUUAGAGUGUUGGUCUAGGAGGUUCAACUGAUUCCAUUGGUGAAUCAGGUGGAUGGAUGGUUUGAAAGGGAAUGCACACUAGCCAGUUCCUGCAACAGAGAACGGGAAUUGACGAUCAAAUAGAGAGAGAGGUGUGUUCCUUGGCUUAUCUUCGAAUGCACGUUACCAAAUUAUCAACAUCCUUGAACGCGUCUUGGAAGGUUCAACAGAAUCGAAAUGCAUUCAUGUGGUUGCGGUGGCGUUUAAGGUUGGAGUCCGGUUUUCUAAUAAUGUAUAUGGAGGUGUGCAGUUUGUGGAUUGGGCUUAAUUAUCCGGUGUCCGAUAGUCAAACCGGUUUCAAACCAGCAUUAGGAGUUUCCUGUCUAAGAUCUUUAUAUCUGACGAUGUAUUAGUCUAUCAAUGCAAACUGGACAACAUAACGAUGUGAAGUAUGCAUAUGAAUUGAAGACUGAGACUACAACAAGAUUAUUGCAACAGUUGAUGUUAUUGAACUUUUUGCUCUAUUAUUUAUUUGGAAAAUAAUAUAUUAUCUGCCUAAAUAAGUCAUGUGAAUGCAUAAUAACUGAUUGUAUGAAA